GACGAGGUGUCCGAGGGAUUAAGGCGAUGGACUGCUAAUGCAUUGGGCUCUGCCCGCGUGGGUUCGAAUCUCAUCCUCGUCG
rnacentral:tRNA from 1 species